UACGGAGGGGGUUAGCGUUGUUCGGAAUGACUGGGCGUAAAGCGCGCGUAGGCGGAUCAGUAAGUUGGGGGUGAAAUCCCGGGGCUCAACCCCGGAAUGGCCUUCAAAACUCCUGGUCUUGAGUUCGAGAGAGGUGAGUGGAAUUCCGAGUGUAGAGGUGAAAUUCGUAGAUAUUCGGAGGAACACCAGUGGCGAAGGCGGCUCACUGGCUCGACACUGACGCUGAGGUGCGAAAGCGUGGGGAGCAAACAGG
rnacentral:rRNA from 1 species